UCAUUGAGCUUUUGAACACUGCAAAAUGCAAACACAGAAUAAGGUUUAACAGCAGAACCACCGCCAACCAACCAAGAAUUAACUAAAGGAAUAAGCACUUCCCUCAUUCAUUAUUAUGGAUGCCUGGUUGUUGACUGGUAGAAUUAUCUGGAAUCCAAUCAUCACGUCAUGCCAAGAAGGCAAGGCUUCACUGGAACUGGGCCAGUGCAUGGCACAGUGGGUUGAUCCUCCGCCUGCGGCGCCGGCAUCCCAUAUAGGCACCGGUUCUAGUCCCGGCUGCUCUUCUUCCGAUUCAGCUCUCUGCUGUGACCUGGGAAAGCAGUGGAGGAUGACCCAAGUCCUUGGACCCCUGCGCCCACGUGGGAGACCCAGAGGAAGCUCCUGGCUCCUGGCUUCAGAUCAGUGCAGCUCCAGCCAUUGUGGCCAUUUGGGGAGUGAACCUGCGGAUCAAAGACCUUUCUCUUGUCUCUCCCUCUCACCGUC